UUGUCUAAAGAAGCGCUUCUUUAUGGUGGGUGGGUGGCAGAUACGGGGAGGGCCUUGUAGAGGGAGGAGGAACUCAAGGGAAAGGGUCACAGAUGCCCCUGUGGACCAGCCUUGUCUCCUCUGCCCCUGCUGAUACACUCAUGCGAGACCCCAAGAGGACAGAGCCCUCCCCAGGUCCAUCUCAGCUGUAGGACGACGUAGGGGCCUCCCAGGCUCCAUCCAGAAAUAUCUCAGAGGACCUUCCCACUACCUGUUCUGGAGGCAACUCCAAUACCCUCAGAGCUGCAGCUUUAAAAGGCUUGCCUUGAAAUCAACCCAGAUUAAUUUUUCCAUUAAGUGAGGAAGCACGAUAUUGGUUUGUUUUGUGUGUGACCGUUACUAACUGAAGUGGAUACUUGUCAAGUUAUUACAAGUUAAGGACAUUGAUGUCAGAACCGAGUAGUUGAAGGAGGUUCAAGAAAAGGAUCUGGAAAUGAGACACGACAGGCUUGCACUAUUGGUGAACUUGCUUGAAGGUCCACACGAUCGUGUCAUGUUCUACUAAGAAUAAGCAUUCCCACCACGAUGACCAAUUUCAGCUUUGACGUGGCCCAAGCAGAAGCUGUCUUUGAACAUUGAUCGAGCAAAGGUCUUGGUGUUCGUAUUAAAAUUUUCUCUCCGUGAUUAGAGUGUAAGCUCCUUGAAGGAAGGGACAGAGGACUUAGAUGACAAGACAAACACUUUGACUAAACAAGGAAGCGUCUGUGGGACCCUGCUGUACACAGGCAACUGCAGUCGUCUCUCGAAGGGAAAUACGAUGUGUGUGGUCAGCUGUGUAUCAUCACACACGCAACAAGUACCUGUGUCACGAGUCCACUGUUCACAGAUAAGCCUGAUAAAUGUGUGAACACAGGUUACGGGUUAUGAUGCCACCAGAGAGGAUCCGCGUUGCGCGCCUGGAUUCUGGGCAGCCGCCUCGCUGCACACAAUCCCCACGGGAGGCUCCUGCUUCCCCACUGGCGGCCGCGCUGCUGGGGGUCAAGCCGCCCGUCGUCAGAACAAAAAGGCCCCAGAAGGUGCAGGAGGAAUGGCCGGAGGAGGCCACCUGGGGACAGAUUCCACACGCACACCUUACAAUAAGGACUUAAAUGAGCUUCUCACUCAGAGUUUUAAAGUGCGGGUGUUUGCACCGUGGACGGCUGUCUCCCUGCCUGCGAGACUUAGGGAAGCUUUGGAGAGGGCUCAGAGCCCCGUCAGCGCCCCCUCCAGGGCCUGGUGGGUCACCCACGGUUUACACCCGCUGUCAUUUUCUCUCCUGGUUUUCCAGGCUUUGCUGGAUGCUAAUUCAUUGUCCAAACAUCCCCCAAAGUGCGCUUUGUAGAGUUGAGAGACACAGCACUGCGGGGGAACACUGAGAAAGGCCUCGGUCACCGGUCCCCGCAGGUGAGGAGACAGGCUGGGCGCUGAAUUUCCACGCGCACUGCCCUUGGGGCCGUUUUCUGCACCAUCAGUGGUCUUCCAAAUAGAGCCCUCUUAAAUAAA